GACGAACGCUGGCGGCGUGCUUAACACAUGCAAGUCGUACGGUAAGGCCCUUUCGGGGGUACACGAGUGGCGAACGGGUGAGUAACACGUGAGUAACCUGCCCACAACUUUGGGAUAACGCUAGGAAACUGGUGCUAAUACUGGAUAUGUGCUCCUGCUGCAUGGUGGGGGUUGGAAAGCUCCGGCGGUUGUGGAUGGACUCGCGGCCUAUCAGCUUGUUGGUGGGGUAGUGGCCUACCAAGGCGGCGACGGGUAGCCGGCCUGAGAGGGUGACCGGCCACAUUGGGACUGAGAUACGGCCCAGACUCCUACGGGAGGCAGCAGUGGGGAAUAUUGCACAAUGGGCGCAAGCCUGAUGCAGCAACGCCGCGUGCGGGAUGACGGCCUUAGGGUUGUAAACCGCUUUCAGCAGGGACGAAGCUUUUUGUGACGGUACCUGCAGAAGAAGCACCGGCUAACUACGUG
rnacentral:rRNA from 1 species